UUUUUAAGGUUCUCUGAGUAAUUCCAAAAGCAAGCCUAUUUUUAAUUCAGACAAUUAAAAACUGGUCCCUAAUAAGACUGCUUAAAAGUAAUAGGGCCUUGAUUGAAAUACUGUUUAUUGUGCAACUGAACCAGUACAAUGCCAGUGUAUCUGACCUCACCAAGAAUUUGGAGAUACUGUAUAUGAAAUAGAAAGGUCAUUCUGAAUCAAGGGUCUCCUAACAAUCAGAACAAUGAUACAGUUUCCCUGACCCCAUGUCAUCUGUAAUGUAAUGUAACGUAGGUAGCUUUUGCCUCUAGGUAGCUUUGACCACAAAGGAGUGGGAAAAACACUAUUACUUAGUCAUCCACAUAAAGAUCUAAGC
rnacentral:lncRNA from 1 species